UUCCUCCGGCUUCUUGUGACUGAUGAGC
rnacentral:sRNA from 1 species